AGGGGCUGUCUGGGCCUUGAGGUUGCCAUGGGCUCCAGGCUCCUCUACUGGGUGGCUCUUGGGCUCCUGGGAGCAGGCCCUGCGGAUGCUGAGGUCACUCAAAGCCCCAGACACCUGGUCAAAGCAAGGAGUCAGCCAGUGACCCUGACAUGCAACUAUAAAUCCGGGCAUGACUCUGUGUACUGGUACCAACAGGGCAUGGACCACGGCCUCAAGUUCCUCAUUCAGUAUUACAGUGGGGAGGAGAGAGAAAAAGGAGACAUCCCAGCUCACUUUUCAGUCCAACAAUUCAUGAAGAACUCCAGCUCUAAGUUGAGCGUGAGCUCCGUGGAAGUGGCCGACUCUGCCCUGUACCUCUGUGCCAGCAGCUUAUCACAGCCCUGCCUGCUCAGCUGCCUCCUGCACAAAAACACCCCUGGACAGCCCAGGAAGUGGCAGUGUGGGAGGCUGCCAGCCAGCAGUGCCCAGACUAUAAGGACAUUCCCUUUAUGA